CAAUAGCGUAUAUUAAGGUUGUUGCAGUUAAAAAGCUCGUAGUUGGAUUUCUGCUGAGGACGAUCGGUCCGCCCACUGGGUGAGUAUCUGGCUCGGCCUUGGCAUCUUCUUGGAGAACGUUGCUGCACUUGACUGUGUGGCGCGGUAUCCAGGACUUUUACUUUGAGGAAAUUAGAGUGUUUCAAGCAGGCGCACGCCUUGAAUACAUUAGCAUGGAAUAAUGAGAUAGGACCUUGGUUCUAUUUUGUUGGUUUCUAGAGCUGAGGUAAUGAUUAAUAGGGAUAGUUGGGGGCAUUCGUAUUUAACUGUCAGAGGUGAAAUUCUUGGAUUUGUUAAAGAUGGACUACUGCGAAAGCAUUUGCCAAGGAUGUUUUCAUUGA
rnacentral:rRNA from 1 species